GUCAUUUCGUGGUCCGUUGGCUAAGAUCAAGUAUAGUAUCUGUUCUUAUUAGUUUAAUAUCUGAUAUAUCCUCUUUCCGAGGACAAUAAGUUAACAUGGUUUUUUUGAGCAGGGAGAUGGAAUUGCUCCGUCAUUCUGUGCAUCAGCGUGGUAUUACAGUACCUCCAAGAGUGCUGCACCCCCU